UAGACACCUGACAACAUAUAACAAUGCCACCUUUUAGGGACUAUAUAAUAUAUAAGAAAAGACUAAAUUGACAACUAUUAAACUUAAGGACUCCAAUACAUAACAAAGAACUAAGAGUAAUAAUGUUCUUCCUUCUCUUUCGUAACAUUCCAUUCCCCAUUGAAGAACCUUGACAUCAUUGUCAAGGUUGAAACUCUGGAAACUGAGAACAGAGAAAAUUGUAGUCCUCCCAAGUUGCUUCUUCUGGAGAUAGAUUUGCCCAUUGCACCAACACCUUCACAACUGCCUUAUUCUUCUUUUUCACUAUCCUCCGAUCCAAAAUUGCCACAGGUUCCACCAAAAUCUGUCCAUCAUUGUAACAAAUUGGGGGUUCCAUGGAUGGCACCACUUGAUUUCCAACUUUUUUCUUCAACUGGGAGACAUGAAAAACUGGAUGAAUCUUGAACCCGACAGGUAGCUUCAGCUCAUACGCAACAUGCCCGAUUUUCUUGACAAUUUGCAAUUCAUCAACCGAGUUCACCUUGGAUUGAGCCACAAGCUCAAAUGUUGGCUGGGGAGGAUCAUAGCCAUAUAACGCCUUGAAGGGGGACAUUUGAAUUGCGGAAUGAAAAGUUGUAUUGUAUCAGAACUCUGCCAAGCUUAACCAUUUGCUCCAAGCUGUAGGCUUGUGACCAGUUAUUGUAUUUAUCAAUUCCAUGGACACCACUUAAGGGUAGUUUGAAGCUUGAUUCUGAAAUGUGAACAAAUUGGAUGAUGGUUGCUAUUGAAUUCUCACUUCUGUCUCUUUCCAUUUCAUGCAUAAUGUGUAUUAUUUAGUUCGGAGAUAGCUUGGGCGAGGUAUAUUUAUGGUUGAAUAGAGUAUGACUAGGUUUGUAAUCAUCUUAUUGUUGGGUGCAUCUGCUAAGUUCUUUGUUUUAGAAUUAGCUUUGGUUUGAAACAUAUAACAAGUUAUGGCUUAGUUACUUGGAUUUCAUGGGGUUUGAAUUGGUGUAUAUGUAUAAGGGGACUUUCAAGGACAUUCAUAAUAGGUAUUUUCAUAUGU